GACUGAUUUGAUGCUUGCAUCAUUGAAAGUUGAGCGGCGGACGGGUGAGUAACGCGUGGGUAACCUGCCCUAUACACAUGGAUAACAUACUGAAAAGUUUACUAAUACAUGAUAAUGUAUAUUUACGGCAUCGUAGGUAUACCAAAGUGUUAGCGGUAUAGGAUGGACCCGCGUCUGAUUAGCUAGUUGGUGAGAUAACUGCCCACCAAGGCGACGAUCAGUAGCCGACCUGAGAGGGUGAUCGGCCACAUUGGAACUGAGACACGGUCCAAACUCCUACGGGAGGCAGCAGUGGGGAAUAUUGCACAAUGGGCGCAAGCCUGAUGCAGCAACGCCGCGUGAACGAUGAAGGUCUUCGGAUCGUAAAGUUCUGUUGCAGGGGAAGAUAAUGACGGUACCCUGUGAGGAAGCCCCGGCUAACUACGUGCCAGCAGCCGCGGUAAUACGUAGGGGGCUAGCGUUAUCCGGAUUUACUGGGCGUAAAGGGUGCGUAGGUGGUCUUUCAAGUCGGUGGUUAAAGGCUACGGCUCAACCGUAGUUAGCCUCCGAAACUGGAAGACUUGAGUGCAGGAGAGGAAAGUGGAAUUCCCAGUGUAGCGGUGAAAUGCGUAGAUAUUGGGAGGAACACCAGUAGCGAAGGCGGCUUUCUGGACUGCAACUGACACUGAGGCACGAAAGCGUGGGUAGCAAACAGGAUUAGAUACCCUGGUAGUCCACGCUGUAAACGAUGAGUA
rnacentral:rRNA from 1 species